GAAGCCCUGAAUGAAGGCCAACAGUUUGCUGUAGCUGUUCGUUUCAAGCAGUGGCUAAUAUCAAAUCUUCUAUUGGUCUGUUGCCUUUUCCCAACUAUCUAAUGGGUUAAGCAGAUUCAAUAGAAGGAACAUUU